UCCUACAGUCAUACCACUCUGGACACACCUGCUCUCUUCUGAUCUCAGAAGCUAAGCAGGGUUGGGCCUAGCUACUAUGGAGGUGGGAGAAAGUCUGUUGGUC
rnacentral:rRNA from 1 species